rnacentral:lncRNA from 1 species
AUUUGUUAUAUUACAGUUCGUUUCUGUGUGUGUUACAUUUUAACGUUGUGUUUCUGUUGUGUCGUUUGUUUCGUCUUAUAUGUGAGUGUAAAUUCACAUUGCUAUAAGACGUGUCACGGUACUUUUCUAUCCCAAAUUCAUGUAUUUAGUUUUCAUGUUGUAUUUGUUAUUCUCAUCGGAUUUUGUCUAUUGCUUAGUUCGUUUCUGUGUAUGUUACAUUUUCAUGUUGUGUCGUUGUUCUCUUAU